GAUGAACGCCGGCGGUGUGCCUAAUACAUGCAAGUCGAACGCGUUGGCCCAACUGAUUGGACGUGCUUGCACGGACUUGACGUUGGUUUACCAGCGAGUGGCGGACGGGUGAGUAACACGUAGGUAACCUGCCCCAAAGCGGGGGAUAACAUUUGGAAACAGAUGCUAAUACCGCAUAACAAUUUGAAUCGCAUGAUCCAAAUUUAAAAGAUGGUUUCGGCUAUCACUUUGGGAUGGACCUGCGGCGCAUUAGCUUGUUGGUAGGGUAACGGCCUACCAAGGCUGUGAUGCGUAGCCGAGUUGAGAGACUGAUCGGCCACAAUGGAACUGAGACACGGUCCAUACUCCUACGGGAGGCAGCAGUAGGGAAUCUUCCACAAUGGGCGCAAGCCUGAUGGAGCAACACCGCGUGAGUGAAGAAGGGUUUCGGCUCGUAAAGCUCUGUUGUUAGAGAAGAACGUGCGUGAGAGCAACUGUUCACGCAGUGACGGUAUCUAACCAGAAAGUCACGGCUAACUACGUGCCAGCAGCCGCGGUAAUACGUAGGUGGCAAGCGUUAUCCGGAUUUAUUGGGCGUAAAGCGAGCGCAGGCGGUUUGAUAAGUCUGAUGUGAAAGCCUUUGGCUUAACCAAAGAAGUGCAUCGGAAACUGUCAGACUUGAGUGCAGAAGAGGACAGUGGACUCCAUGUGUAGCGGUGGAAUGCGUAGAUAUAUGGAAGAACACCAGUGGCGAAGGCG
rnacentral:rRNA from 1 species